rnacentral:sRNA from 1 species
GCACCCGCAAAAUCGGGUGUUUGGAUUGGCGUCCAAAUUUGAUCUAAUCGCACGACUGCGACAGCAGUUUUUUU